UACGUAGGGCGCAAGCGUUUGUCCGGAAUUAUUGGGCGUAAAGAGCUCGUAGGCGGCCUGUCGCGUCUGCUGUGAAAUCCCGGGGCUCAACCCCCGGGCCUGCAGUGGAUACGGGCUGGCUGGAGGCAGGCAGGGGGAGAACGGAAUUCCUGGUGUAGCGGUGAAAUGCGCAGAUAUCAGGAGGAACACCGGUGGCGAAGGCGGUUCUCUGGGCCUGUUCUGACGCUGAGGAGCGAAAGCGUGGGGAGCGAACAGG
rnacentral:rRNA from 1 species